rnacentral:rRNA from 1 species
UGGGGAAUAUUGGACAAUGGGCGCAAGCCUGAUCCAGCAAUGCCGCGUGUGUGAAGAAGGCCUUCGGGUUGUAAAGCACUUUUAUCAGGAGCGAAACGCUGUCGGCUAAUACCCGGCGGAACUGGCGGUACCUGAGGAAUAAGCACCGGCUAACUUCGUGCCAGCAGCCGCGGUAAUACGAAGGGUGCAAGCGUUAAUCGGAAUUACUGGGCGUAAAGCGUGCGUAGGCGGUUUCUUAAGUCUGCUGUGAAAUCCCCGGGCUCAACCUGGGAAUGGCAGUGGAUACUGGGAGGCUAGAGUGUGUCAGAGGGUGGUGGAAUUCCCGGUGUAGCGGUGAAAUGCGUAGAGAUCGGAAGGAACAUCAGUGGCGAAGGCGGCCACCUGGGACAACACUGACGCUGAGGCACGAAAGCGUGGGGAGCAAACAGGAUUAGAUACCCUGGUAGUCCACGCCCUAAACGAUGCGAACUGGAUGUUGGUCUCAACUCGGAGAUCAGUGUCGAAGCUAACGCGUUAAGUUCGCCGCCUGGGGGAGUACGGUCGCAAGACUGAAACUUAAAUGAAUUGACGGGGUCAUAGCUGUUUCCUG